rnacentral:rRNA from 1 species
GAUAACCAGUCGAAAGAUUGGCUAAUACCGGAUAAGCCCACGGUCUCUUCGGAGACUGAGGGAAAAGGUGGCCUCUGUAUACAAGCUAUCACAACCAGAUGAGUCCGCGGCCCAUCAGCUAGUUGGCGGGGUAAUGGCCCACCAAGGCAACGACGGGUAGCUGGUCUGAGAGGACGAUCAGCCACACUGGAACUGAGACACGGUCCAGACUCCUACGGGAGGCAGCAGUGGGGAAUUUUGCGCAAUGGGCGAAAGCCUGACGCAGCAACGCCGCGUGUGUGAUGAAGGUCUUUGGAUUGUAAAGCACUUUCGACCGGGACGAAACCGUAAAGCCUAAUACGCUUUGCCUUGACGGUACCGGGAGAAGAAGCACCGGCUAACUCUGUGCCAGCAGCCGCGGUAAUACAGAGGGUGCAAGCGUUGUUCGGAAUUAUUGGGCGUAAAGCGCGUGUAGGCGGCUUUGCAAGUCGGGUGUGAAAGCCCUCAGCUCAACUGAGGAAGUGCGCCCGAAACUGCAGAGCUUGAGUGCCGGAGAGGGUGGCGGAAUUCCCCAAGUAGAGGUGAAAUUCGUAGAUAUGGGGAGGAACACCGGUGGCGAAGGCGGCCACCUGGACGGUAACUGACGCUGAGACGCGAAAGCGUGGGUAGCAACAGGAUUAGAUACCCUGGUAGUCCACGCCGUAAACGAUGAGAACUAGGUGUCGUGGGAGUUGACCCCC